GGGCGGAUAGUUCAAUGGUAGAACGCAUUCCUGAUAAGAAUGAGGCUCGUGGUCCGAUUCCACGUCCGCCCA
rnacentral:tRNA from 1 species